rnacentral:rRNA from 1 species
UACGUAGGGUGCGAGCGUUGUCCGGAAUUAUUGGGCGUAAAGAGCUCGUAGGCGGUCUGUUGCGUCCGCUGUGAAAACUCGGGGCUUAACCCCGAGCCUGCAGUGGAUACGGGCAGACUAGAGGUAGGUAGGGGAGAAUGGAAUUCCCGGUGUAGCGGUGAAAUGCGCAGAUAUCAGGAAGAACACCCGUGGCUAAGGCGGCUCUCUAGUACGGUACUGACGCUGAGACGCGAAAGCGUGGGGAGCGAACAGG